GGCUCAGAUCAUCCCACAUCUCCGAGAAAAACCAUGCCUCUCCUCUCCUCUCCUCCGCCUCGAUCGGUGGGCGGACGGAACACGAAGGCGACAUCGGCUGCCGCGCUCUCUGCCCUCCCCACCCGCCCCGAUUUAAUAGCUUCGGGGCUUCCGGCCUACCAUCCACGCCUGGCAGCAGAGAUUGAUGUACUGGUCCUGAAAUUUGAUUUGGGAAUCCCGGGAACAAGCUAACGAGUCACAUACCUUGUUCAUCAUCAUUUGUUACUCAUGGAAGAUACUACUCAUGGAAAAUGUAUAAGCUUAAAAGGCAGUGCCAGUAGAAUCGAAUUCUAUGGAGUCAACCGGAUUUCUUAGUUAUCAUUGUAGGAUGAUGUGAACAUUGUGAACAUCAAGUUUCUACAUCAGUAAUGAGGGUAUUUUGAGGCCAAACAUUUUGAGCUCCCAGUCUAUUUGCUGCAACUAAGAACAGGCAUUCCUUCCACCAUGGUUUUCUUUCAAUAUCUGGUUGAUAUAUGCCCAUUCAACAGGUAAAGAUGAUGCUAUUUUGUCUCAUGAGGAUGCCCCAAGGCAGUGAAAUGGUAAUCUCUUUUUUGAGUUGUGCCACAAGUUCCUGAGAGAUGAUGACCUCCCCACCCGAAACAUCAUUGUCCCUAUCAAUGCAAUAUAUGUUAGGAGAAUUUAUUUGUUUUUCUCUCAUUUUAAUCCUUAACAAAAAAAUUUCUGUAAAUUUUUGGGAUUACAUCUAAUAUUUGCAGGAUGCUCGGUUACUUUUUUGUUGCUUA